rnacentral:rRNA from 1 species
GUGUCAGCAGCCGCGGUAAUACGGAAGGUGCAAGCGUUGUUCGGAAUGACUGGGCGUAAAGCGCACGUAGGCGGUCUCGCAAGUCGGAUGUGAAAUCCCCAGGCUCAACCUGGGAACUGCAUCCGAAACUGCUUGACUUGAAUGCUUGAGAGGUUGGUGGAAUUCCAGGUGUAGGAGUGAAAUCCGUAGAUAUCUGGAGGAACAUCGGAGGCGAAGGCGGCCAACUGGCAAUGCAUUGACGCUGAGGUGCGAAAGCGCGGGGAGCAAACAGGAUUAGAUACCCUGGUAGUCCGCGCCGUAAACGAUGGAUACUAGGUGUUCGGGAAGUUAACCUCCUGAGUACUAAAGCUAACGCAUUAAGUAUCCCGCC